UGCCUCUCGGGGUCGCACCCGGAGAGUUUCCAGUACUCCAUCAGUCUCGGCUACGGGAGGGAGAGUCAAGCAGGGGCCUACCCAUUCCAUCCCUAGCUUGGCCAGUAGCUAGAGCGUGGAAGGCAAUCUGCCACAAGU